GAUGAACGCUGGCGGCGUGCCUAAUACAUGCAAGUCGAGCGAACAGACGAGGAGCUUGCUCCUCUGACGUUAGCGGCGGACGGGUGAGUAACACGUGGAUAACCUACCUAUAAGACUGGGAUAACUUCGGGAAACCGGAGCUAAUACCGGAUAAUAUAUUGAACCGCAUGGUUCAAUAGUGAAAGACGGUUUUGCUGUCACUUAUAGCUUGAUCCGCGCCGCAUUAGCUAGUUGGUAAGGUAACGGCUUACCAAGGCAACGAUGCGUAGCCGACCUGAGAGGGUGAUCGGCCACACUGGAACUGAGACACAGUCCAGACUCCUGCGGUGGGAAGCAGUAGGGAAUCUUCCGCAAUGGGCGAGAGCCUGACGGUGCAACGCCGCGUGAGUCAUGAAGGUCUUCGGAUCGGAGAACUCUGUUAGUAGGGGAGAACAAAUGUGUAAGUAACUAUGCACGUCUUGACGGUACCUAGUCAGAAAGCCACGGCUAACUACGUG
rnacentral:rRNA from 1 species